rnacentral:misc_RNA from 1 species
AAAAAAAAAAAAAAAAAAGAUGAGAUAAAAGAGGCAAGAGAAAAACAAUAAAAAUGCCACCAAGAUUUAUCACAUAUUAUCAAAUGUGAAAGACCUCCUAGACCCAAGCAGUGUGCGUACUUACAUUUGAAGUCACUUUCUAACACAUGUCCACGUCAGGCUCAGACAUAAUCAAUGUACCAACUUUACUGCAGACAAGCAGGCUUAGACAUACUUUAGCACUAGCAAAUUUAUGUGCUCUAGAUGAUCAAAUAUUGUCUAGUUCUAAAGCAUGUCCUGUUCCCCCUAACAAAUUUAAGUUCUUAAGGUGGAAAUUUGGAAUCUAACUUCUCCACAAUAACUAUCUUUCAAUUAGCUCAACAACCCAACAAAAUAUAAACACAAUUGAGAGAGAGAAAGGAAGAAAGGGAGAGAGCAAAAGGUUAAAGCCAUAAUCAAUUCCUGCUUAACGAAUUAUUGAUUACGUUCAUAAAUGCUAAUCGAAAGUUAAUUUCUCACAUUCACAUAACACAGUUAAGAUGAUAAAACUUUUCUAUAUUAAUACUGUGCUCUAGGCGAUCAUCAAACCAUGUUGAUAUCCAUUUUAUUUUUAGCAAAACUAUAUUUCCCCAAUUACUUUCACUUUAAACAUCAACACCACCAUGGAAAAAGGAUGAGAGGCGAAACCCAUACUGUAAUUGCAAGUACCAUCCAAAGCCCAAAAUCAGGAAUUUGGUCAAUUUGGGCAAACAUAUGUCCUUCAACAUGAUCAACCAUUCAAUUCAACCCAACUCUGCUUC